rnacentral:lncRNA from 1 species
UGGAUGGUAUAAAACAGUGCCACAUGGAGUCUUAGGUCCAGCAUCACAUGUAUUGAGCCAAUAUUCACUAAACGACCAAGAUCCUCCCCUUCAUGGAGCACAGAUCCAGAGUGGAGGAGAGUCAGACCAUGAGUGAGGAAAACAAGCUCAUGAACAAAAUGAGAUAAGUGUCACUGGGACAACAGAACAAAGCAGCGAGUGCAGAGCCUGGAUGUGAGGAGGGUACCCAGCAUGGCACCUGGCACCCAACAAGUGCAGACCAAUGUAGAAGAGCAAGGCAAUGUCAAUUUCAGGAGUGCAGGGCUCUCCUCCUCCCUAGGAACUAUUCAACCUCUGCCUUGAUACUGAAGAGCACAAAGCAGGAGAAAACUCUAUGUCUUUCCCAAAGGCAAUCUGUCUGUCUCUCUUUCCGGGAAGGUGUGUGCCUGCCAAUCACUCUAUAGGAAAGGAUGUACCUUUGAAGAGGAACUUUCUGGACCCUCUUAAUUCUGCCAUCAGUGCAGCUCUUCCAGGACCUCAGCUAUAUGAAAACACUGUCAUACUGAUAUGGAACUUGAAAACAAAAACCCACCAACCACAGAAGCACCAGCAACCUCUGUGGGAGCUAGAGUCUCAUCAAUCAGAACAUGUGUCCUAGGAGCCUGCACUUGCAGAAGGACAGAUAAAGAACAGAAGCGUACCUGGGAGAGCUGGCUGAAACCAGGACACGGUGGGACCAUUGGAAAGGACUCUAAACCACAGCAGCAGAAGGAGAGCUAGACUUGCAGGGACCCAGGCUCCACACUAGGGACCUCGACCUUGUCCUGCAGGGAGUGGAGACCCA